ACCAUAUUCCAUUUUCUUCGUCGUUGCUGCUUGACCGCUCCUCACAUCGAUUACCAGACUGGACAAUUUCCGAAUCAAAGCAUGCCGAGAAUGCAGCUUUUUACUGUACUUCUGUUUGCAACAUUUGUAAGCAUGUUGGAAGGUAAAUAUGAGGCCAUCAGAAGGGGUCUCGCUGGUAUCAAGCCGUUGCUGGAAGUGCUGCGCCCGAUAUUGUCUGCCUAGACAGUUUCUCAGCUAGAAGCAUGGCGAGAAUUAAUUCUCUUGCUUUGCUUCUAUUCGCCGCUUCUUUAACUAUACUGGAAGGCAGAUUCCGGUUCAACGUGAGAAGCCCUUUCAUAUUUUUUGUGCCCCGGGUGCAUCAUCGCUAUCAAGGACGUAAACUUGGCGGAUUCGCAAGAUUUCUGUCGACGCCAGAACCAAUAUGGACAUAUAACACCACCGGACAUCCCGGACGGCAGUGUGAAGUGGAACGAAUGCAGAAUAUAAACAAAACUUCCGUUCGCUUGAUUCGAUCAUAUUACGAAAACAGUACAAAGAUAUCCGGUGAACUACGAGGAACCUUUGAUCUAAAGCACGUGGACCACAUGAUCAUUCAUCCUCCAGUUUCCAUGCAUGGGUGGAUGGCGGUAGAGGGAAAAGGCGACGUGAGAAAACAAAGGAACGCUACCACUAGACACAACGGUGGUUGAGGACAAACUGGAUAACUUUAAGUUCAAGGUGCCCCGUACAAUCAGACGGAAGAUAUAUUGUAUAUGAGUAGAAAGCUAAGAUGUGCAGUGAUUAAGAUAAGGACCAUGCUUCACGGCAACCACACUACCUAUGACCUCCGAGUUCGGAACUCCUCGAUUGCCCGGGGCCCUAGCCGAGGCUGUAUGAAGAAAUUUAGGAAAUACGCUCGUGGAUCACAUGGUACUUACCAAACAAAGUGCCAGGAGAUACUACGGAACACAACGCAACCACUAUUUACCAUUGAGGCUAAGCCAAAGCAGCAAAGCCAGCGCCUUCGCUAGACUUUGUAUCAGUGUUGCCGAUAUGUCAACGCUAACGUCGCUGGACGUUUUAACAAUAUCAUUUGAGCCCCAUUCUUCAAGUUUUAGUGUCAUGUUAUAUAAUUGAAUGACAUAAAUGCGUCACAUUCUG